AAUCAUCGAACGUCUACAUGGCCAACAUCAGAACUUUAAAAUGUGAUUUUUUUCCCCCCCUUUUUUUAGUCUUCCAGGUACAACUCAUUCACUAUCCUCCACCCAACGCCAAACCAGCAGAGUGCUGUAGGUUAAAGUCGUUUGCAGUCGAAGUUGGAGUCUGGCAGUGUAGUCGAAAAAGGCCGAAAAUGCGCACACCGGAGAGAAAAAUUUGCCUGUCAGCCUAACUAGAGGGAUAAAACGUCCCCACUCUCAGCCAAAUCGAUAGCCGAGCAGCAACCGCAGUGGGCCGUACUGACAUGACGGACGGUGCUAGAAGUUUCCACCGGCUCGUUACUGGUUCCUCCGUGUUCAGUGUCAGCGGCGGCGGGAUUCGGUCCCCUCCGUCUUUUACCGGAUAAGCGACUGACCUGGCUGCCGGCAGGUCGGAGCUGCUGAGUCACACCAGCUAGAAGGCCAAGCUAAAGGCUAGCGGCUAACGGGCAGUCACCGGGGAUGUUCGGUUGUCUGGUCGCCGGCAGGUUGGUGCAGACGGACGCGGUGCAGGUCGCCUCGGACAAGUUCGUGUUCAACCUGCCGGACUACGAGAACGUGAACCACGUGGUGGUGUUCAUGCUGGGCACCGUGCCGUUCCCCGCCGGCAUGGGCGGCGCCGUCUACUUCUCCUUCCCGGACCCGGCCAGCGGCGGCCCGGUGUGGCAGCUGCUCGGCUUCAUCACCAACGACAAACCCAGCGCCAUCUUCAAGAUCUCCGGGCUGAAGUCCGGGGAGGGCGGGGCGCAUCCCUUCGGCACCAUGGCCUCCUCCUCGUCCCCCUCCGUGGCUCAGGUCGGCGUGUCGGUGGAGGCUCUGGAGCAGCUGGCCCAGCAGAUCCCGGUGUCCAGCGCCGCCGUGUCCACCGUGGACUCGUUCCUGCAGUUCACCCAGAAGAUGCUGGACAGUCUGUACAACUUCGCCUCCUCCUUCGCCGUGUCGCAGGCGCAGAUGACGCCGAACCCCGCCGAGACCUUCAUCCCCUCCAGCUGCCUCCUCAAGUGGUAUGAAAACUUCCAGAGGAGGCUGGCCCAGAACCCGAACUUCUGGAAAAACUGACCAGAGCAGAGGCAGUAAAGACUCAGCCCGCCGAGGACGGUUUCCACAGUGCCUACAGCUUCUAAUAAAAGUCUCUGCUAGUGUUCACCCAGCCCCGGUCUCCCUUCAUCUCUGACCCCUGACCCCUGACCCCUGACCCGAACCUGCCUCUCCGCCCUGCGAAGCUGCAUCCACGAGCUGCGGCUCCAUGAGCUGUAAUUAAUGGUUCAUAUCCCAGAUCAGUUAGGAGCCAGGGACGAGAACACCUUUGAUUCACCGGGGAGACGUCUCCAGUGGACUCGGUGGCCACUGAUCUACAGCAGGACGUCUGGACCAAAGUCCAGUUAUUAACUGAUCAUUAACAUUCACUUAAUAUGGUAGAAGCGGUUUUGUUUUUUGUUUUUUAAAUUUAUACGUAGUCUGUGUCCUGCUGGAGGAGGAUGUCCCACGACCUGGCAACCCAAAACCUAUUAAUGUCUUCUAACUGAUCGGUAAAGCAUCAGCAAAUGAUUUAUUAACCAUUAAUUAUGGCUCAUAAACCCUUUUUAUAAACGAUGCCUUGUCACAGAGUGGUAACCUUUUUUUUUUUUAAAAUAACAUUAAAUUCAUUUUUGACAAAGGAAGCAGCUCAAAAAAAAAAUCCUGACAAUCAAACGCACACACAACAAACAAAAAACAAAUCUUAACUUGCAAGCUUUUUUUGAGCUUUCAACCGCAUCUCAUGGUAUUCCUCAGCAGAUGGGGUUUACCCACAUCCCUCAAAGUUUAUUUGAAUUAAACAUUUUUCACUUACCUGCUUUUUCUGGGUUCACUUCAUAGUAAAAUCCCUCCACUGAGGAAGACCACAAGAUGAAGUUGAAGUCUCCAUUAAAAAAUACUUGCUCCAAGACCAUCUGUAAAUAUCGUCUUAUUGAUCGCGUCAAUACGUGGCAGCUGAGAACGAUCACGCUGAAUAAGAGCAUCUCACCACAUGAGAGGGAAGCAGCGGUCGACAAAACGACCUCACCGCAAAGUUCAUGAGCAUCUGCGGAGGAAGGCCACGCGGCAUGAUCGAAAUCUGAUGAACAGCCACUAAAUGGACUUUCAGCCGCUGUUUCCAAGGUCGGGGAUGGAGAUUUCAAGCUCAACUUAUAAGUCAAUAAAAUGCUCAGAAAAAUUUGAACGCGUACUAAUUCACGACGACUCCGUGUGCAGAGGAAGAUCGUGUGAUACUAUCGAAAGCUCCAGAACAGCUACUAAUAGGCCCAGAGGUGAAACUUCAUUGUUUUAGUUUAUACUGUGCUUAAAUUGAACCUCUUCCACAGUAA